UUAACUCAAAUCUGUAUGGACUUGGAACCUUUGCCUACGUUUGCCGCUAGGGGCGCUGUUCCAACUGCAUACAAAUUUGAGUUA
rfam:Bombyx mori DNA, contig: Bm_scaf4_contig3477, strain: p50T/Dazao, build 2, whole genome shotgun sequence.